rnacentral:rRNA from 1 species
GAUGAACGCUGGCGGCGUGCCUAAUACAUGCAAGUCGAGCGAACAGACGAGGAGCUUGCGCCUCUGACGUUAGCGGCGGACGGGUGAGUAACACGUGGAUAACCUACCUAUAAGACUGGGAUAACUUCGGGAAACCGGAUCUAAUACCGGAGAAUAUAUUGAACCGCAGUGUUCAAUAGUAAAAGACGGCUUUUCUGUCACUUAUAGAUGGAUCCGCGCCGCAUUAGCUAGUUGGUAAGGUAACGGCUUACCAAGGCAACGAUGCGUAGCCGAAGUGAGAGAGUGAUCGGCCACACUGGAACUGAGACACGGUCCAGACUCCUACGGGAGGCAGCAGUAGGGAAUCGUCCGCAAUGGGCGAAAGCCUGACGGAGCAACGCCGAGUGAGAGAUGAAGGUCUUCGGAUCGUAAAACUCUGUUAUUAGGGAAGAACAAAUGUGUAAGUAACUAUGCACGUCUUGACGGUAACUAAUCAGAAAGCCACGGCUAACUACGUG